AUUAAAAGAGACAAAAGAGAGUCGGCUUCUACUAUCUCUCUCACCACGUGAGGACAUAGCAAGGAAACCAUUUACCAACUAAGAAGAGAGCCCUCACUAAGCACCCAACCAUGCUGGCACCACAAUCUCAGUCUUCCAGACUGUAGAACUGCUAUUAUGGAACAGAAACAUUACCUAAAACAUCCAUGCAGAGAAAAUGACAACUAAUAUUUGGCUAUGUGUUCUGUCUUCUUUCCAGAAGUUCUACACGCAGCAAGAAUUAAACCUCAGUGAGCUGGCAGAACCUCUCCCUGAAAACGCAGGUGGCAGAGGAGUAAUGAACAUCAACAACUUGUGUUUCUCCAGAUUGUAAAGCUGAAGGAUUACUUACAUGUACAUUGGUAUGAAAAUAGCUUGGUUUACAAUAGUGAAGUAAAGGAAAGCAAAAUAUGGCUUGGAAGAUAAGGAUAGUCUCUUUAAUAAAUGGUGUUGAGAAAACUGGAUAUCCACAUACAAAAUAAUUAAACGAGACUCUUAUCUUACACUAUACACAAAAAUCAACAUUAUAAGGAUUAAAGACCUAAAUGUAGACCUGAAACCAUAAAACUCUCAGAAUAAAACUCCUUGGCUAGAAAGCUCCUUGA